rnacentral:rRNA from 1 species
UACAGAGGGUGCAAGCGUUAAUCGGAUUUACUGGGCGUAAAGGGCGCGUAGGUGGUUACGUAAGUGAGAUGUGAAAGCCCCGGGCUUAACCUGGGAACUGCAUCUUAUACUGCGUAGCUGGAGUACAUGAGAGGGUAGUGGAAUUUCCGGUGUAGCGGUGAAAUGCGUAGAUAUCGGAAGGAACACCAGUGGCGAAGGCGGCUACCUGGCAUGAUACUGACACUGAGGCGCGAGAGCGUGGGGAGCAAAC